UACGGCCAUAUCCCGUUGAAACCCCGGUCUUUGUCCGAUCACCGAAGUUAAGCAACGUCGAGCCUUGUCAGUACUUAGAUUGAUGACCGCAUGGAAAUACCAGUUGC